rnacentral:rRNA from 1 species
AUGGCGACCGGCGCACGGGUGCGUAACGCGUAUGCAACCUACCUGUAACAGGGGGAUAACACUGAGAAAUCGGUACUAAUACCGCAUAACACUAUGAGAGGCAUCUCUUGUGGUUGAAAGUUUCGGCGGUUACAGAUGGGCAUGCGUUGUAUUAGCUGGUUGGUAAGGUAACGGCUUACCAAGGCGACGAUACAUAGGGGGACUGAGAGGUUAACCCCCCACAUUGGUACUGGGACACGGACCAAACUCCUACGGAAGGCAGCAG